rnacentral:tRNA from 1 species
GCGCGCGUGGCGGAACUGGCAUACGCAUCCAGCUCAAACCUGGAGUUUCUGUGGGUUCGACCCCCACCGCCCGCACCA